GUCUUAGUGGUCAGAACAUUGGUGCGUAAAACCAAAGGCCCCGGGUUCGAAUCCCGGCGAGGGUA
rnacentral:tRNA from 1 species